GCUUGGCUAGCUCAGUCGGUAGAGCAUGAAACUCUUAAUCUCAGAGUUGUGGGGAUAAAGUCCAUAUUGAGCU